rnacentral:lncRNA from 1 species
UACACUUUUUAUCGAAUCUGGAUGCUUUUGGAACAAUUGUGGAAAAGCACAAAAUGGGGACAAUAUAAAUUCAAGAUUAUUGUUAUACACAAUUAGUCCUUCCAAAAUCUACAAUCAACCCAUAACCAAUUAUACAUUUAUAAUAAGGUUUUCAAAUGCCACUGUAAUGCACUCAUUCACCAAAGCCAACGUCUAGUCGACCGGCCUAACACACUUGGUGUGCACUUCAUACCCACAAUCUAAGCAUUGGUAAGCCCAACCCGAACCUUGCUCAUCACAAUCACAGCAUAUAAAGGGGCCCCCGCCAUUGCCUUGAGACACCAAGGAGAGUUCAUGGCGAUGGCCCGAAUGUAGCUCCACGCUCGGGAGAUUCUUUGCAUUCUCAUCCAUCUGCUUUUCUAAUAGCUCAACCCGAGCCUCAGUAAAAGGGUUUUUACUGGUCGGGUCGCCAAACGGGAGGGCUAGCCAUGGCAUAACGCUAAACGAGGACUUAAAUUCUAGCUCGUUGUGAUCAGUCGAGACAUAGAUGAUUUCAAAGUCUCCGUUAAACUCUUGUUGGGUUAUGUUUUGUUUUAUCUUUUGGUAAAUGGAGAUCAACUUGGGAGUAAAUUUGUGACUUGGGAGGCACCACUGGGCCGAAAAGUAAAGCCCAAUAGUCUUGCCCAGUAAGGAAGAAACUGAUACCACCUGCAUAUUUGAAAUUAAAGGAUUUUUGUUGGAACAAUGAACCUUCAAGUACAGUUAAUGUAAUGCACGUACAAACGUAUCUAGGGUGAUGGUCAAAGUUCUUGUGGAAUACCUGGAGUCUAAGAAGAUAUUUAACAUAAGCUUCAA